UUCUCCAAGUUCCCUGGCUGGGGAGCAGGAAGGGGUAGGGAGUUUCCAGAAUGUCUCCGUAGAACUCCUGGGGGAGUCUUGGCAACUGGAAAUUGUCAGUCGUCUCCUUGACAACCAGCAGCCAAAUAAUUCUGGGAAUGGAGUGGGGAGGAGAGCUCUCUGCAGGGUGGCCAAGAGAAGCAGCUCUCAGCCCCCAGAAAACUCCGAUCCCCCAUUACCUGCGUCAGGCGGGGGCCCAUCAGGAGACCAAAACCACACAAGUUAGUUGAAAAAAGGAUAAAGAAUUGAUAACUAGACAUAACGCUGCUCACGAGGUAACGAAAGGGCGACAAGAGAACUGCUCAGGUGUCACGGAGGUCUCAGCAGUGGCCGGAGGGCCUGCCACCGCCUGGGCUGGGGAAACCAGAGGAAGAGGCUGCAGUCGCUAACCCUUAGACAUUUUGAGGAGGGACCCAGAGCCCUGGGGUGGGGGGGAAGACUUUCAGCCGGAAGGAAGGAAGGACAGACCCCCGGGCUUGCGCCCAGACCUCUGAGGAAGAGGCACCUGCCUGUGAGGGCCGGGUCUCUGGAGCUGGCGUGUGGGGUGCGUAGCGUAUGGUGAGGCUUGAAGUACUAGAGACAUGGCAAGCUGGAUUCAGCUGCUGCUCCAGGAUGGGCCUGCUGCAGGGUGAGGGGGGAAGGUUGGGUGCCUCUGGCAGGGAACACACGGACACAAACGGGAAGGCAGGCGGUCACCCUUCCUCCUCCAGCCUGCAGCCUCCCCUCCGGUGGCUCUGGUCACAAGGAUCCAACAGGGAACCGCUGGCCAAGCAGAGACGGGACUCACAGGGCCCGAGGCCACCUUCACAAAGCAGUGUACAGAGGACGGGGCUGGGGCUGAGAAGCCAGACAUUUCAAGUAUUCGUCACCGCAAGGUGGGGAAGUUCUGGUCUUCCAGCCCCGGCUUUACUGAAAAGAGCAGUGCCGAGCACACGGGAGAUCUGAUAUCGUCUGGCCUCUGCUGUGGUUGAUUCCUGAGAGUGCACAUGGGCAGGCCUUCCCGACUUACUCUGGCUUGUCUUGAAAAGUUCCCGACGUUCCCAGGCUCUGACAGCUGUGAGGAAUUUGUAUAACCGUAAUGAUGAAAACAACAGUAAUGAAGAAAUAUUUAGAAAAUGAAUGAAGAAAAGGAAGGAAGGAAGGAAGGAAGGAAGGAAGAAAGGGAGCGAGGGAAGAAAGAAAGAAAGAAAGAAAUGAAGGGAGGGAAGAAGGAAGGAAAGAAGGAAAGAAGGAAGGAAGGGAAGAAACAAGAAAGAGAAAGGCAGCAAACUCCAGCAUUCAAGGAUAUGCGUUAAAAAAUUUCAAAGCUUUUUUUUUUUGCAGCGACAAAAGUACAGUACGGGUAAUCGUUGAAUGAUACACAUAGGUCCAUAUACCGUAAUGUUCUGCAACUAUUAAAAAGAGUAAAUUACAAAAAGACAAA